GGAGGUAUAGUUCAGUAGUAGAACACUCCCCUGAUAAGGGAGAGGUCAAUGGUGCGAUCCCAUUUGCUUCCACCA
rnacentral:tRNA from 2 species